UGGGGAAUUUUGGACAAUGGGGGAAACCCUGAUCCAGCCAUCCCGCGUGUGCGAUGAAGGCCUUCGGGUUGUAAAGCACUUUUGGCAGGAAAGAAACGUCGCGGGUUAAUACCCCGCGAAACUGACGGUACCUGCAGAAUAAGCACCGGCUAACUACGUGCCAGCAGCCGCGGUAAUACGUAGGGUGCAAGCGUUAAUCGGAAUUACUGGGCGUAAAGCGUGCGCAGGCGGUUCGGAAAGAAAGAUGUGAAAUCCCAGAGCUUAACUUUGGAACUGCAUUUUUAACUACCGGGCUAGAGUGUGUCAGAGGGAGGUGGAAUUCCGCGUGUAGCAGUGAAAUGCGUAGAUAUGCGGAGGAACACCGAUGGCGAAGGCAGCCUCCGGAUGAACACUGACGCUCAUGCACGAAAGCGUGGGGAGCAAACAGGAUUAGAUACCCUGGUAGUCCACGCCCUAAACGAUGUCAACUAGCUGUUGGGGCCUUCGGGCCUUGGUAGCGCAGCUAACGCGUGAAGUUGACCGCCUGGGGGAGUACGGUCG
rnacentral:rRNA from 1 species